rnacentral:rRNA from 1 species
AUACGGAGGGGGCUAGCGUUGUUCGGAAUUACUGGGCGUAAAGCGCGCGUAGGCGGUUUGCCAAGUCAGGCGUGAAAUCCCCGGGCUCAACCUGGGAACUGCGUUUGAAACUGGCAGACUAGAGGCCGGGAGAGGGUAGUGGAAUUCCCAGUGUAGAGGUGAAAUUCGUAGAUAUUGGGAAGAACACCGGUGGCGAAGGCGGCUACCUGGACCGGUUCUGACGCUGAGGUGCGAAAGCGUGGGGAGCAAACAGGAUUAGAAACCCCUGUAGUCC